UGGGGAAUAUUGGACAAUGGGGGGAACCCUGAUCCAGCCAUGCCGCGUGUGUGAAGAAGGCCUUCUGGUUGUAAAGCACUUUAAGCGAGGAGGAGGGUACUGGUAUUAAUACUACCAGGUACUGGACGUUACUCGCAGAAUAAGCACCGGCAAACUCUGUGCCAGCAGCCGCGGUAAUACAGAGGGUGCGAGCGUUAAUCGGAUUUACUGGGCGUAAAGCGUGCGUAGGCGGCUAAUUGAGUCGGAUGUGAAAUCCCCGAGCUUAACUUGGGAAUUGCAUUCGAUACUGGUUAGCUAGAGUGUGGGAGAGGAUGGUAGAAUUCCAGGUGUAGCGGUGAAAUGCGUAGAGAUCUGGAGGAAUACCGAUGGCGAAGGCAGCCAUCUGGCCUAACACUGACGCUGAGGUACGAAAGCAUGGGGAGCAAACAGG
rnacentral:rRNA from 1 species